UCACAGAGAGGUCUAAAGAACAUUUCACAAAAACAAUUUUUAAAUAGCUAUUUCUGUAGGUAGGCGAAUUAGGCAGAAAUUCAUGACUGUUACUUUUUGCC